GAUGAACGCUAGCUACAGGCUUAACACAUGCAAGUCGCGGGGCAGCAUGGGGGUUGCUUGCAAUCCCCGAUGGCGACCGGCGCACGGGUGAGUAACGCGUAUCCAACCUGCCCUUCACCACGGGAUAACCCGGCGAAAGUCGGACUAAUACCGUAUGUUUUCCAUUGACGGCAUCCGAUUUGGACGAAAGGUUUGGCGGUGAAGGAUGGGGAUGCGUCCGAUUAGCUGGACGGCGGGGUGACGGCCCACCGUGGCGACGAUCGGUAGGGGUUCUGAGAGGAAGGUCCCCCAGAGUGGGACUGAGAAACGGGCCAGACUCAUACGGGAGGCAGCAGUGAGGGAUAUUGGUCAAUGGGAGUAAGCCUGAACCAGCCAAGUAGCGUGCAGGAUGACGGCCCUAUGGGUUGUAAACUGCUUGUAUGCGGGGAUAAAGUGGCCCACGUGUGGGUUUUUGAAGGUACCGCAUGAAUAAGGACCGGCUAAUUCCGUG
rnacentral:rRNA from 1 species